rnacentral:lncRNA from 1 species
CCAUGAGAAUCUGGACCAAUCAUCAACAAGUAACAAGAAAUAACAAGCACCUGUAGUUGCUUGAACUGGAGUUGGGCCCUAAAGAUUGGUAUGUAUGAGAUCCAAAACUUUAGUUGUCUUUGAUUGAGAAAGAGAAAAUGGUAAUUUGUGACUUUUCCCAUACUGACGUGUUGUACAGAUAGUUGAAUUAUUUUUCUGAAGAGAAACAUUACAAGAGGCUAAUGCAUGUUGAAGAAUAUCUGCAGAGGGGUGACCUAACCAAGCAUGCCAGAGAGUGGAUGGUGUUGUUCUCGUUGUGACUGUAGAGGUAACAAAAGCAGUUGGUGUUUAUCUUGGCACAAGCUGUCUUGGAAACUAGCAAAGACCUUGUUCAAGCUUGCCUUGUAGGAGUGUGUUCUUCGUUUGCUAAUCCUUGAUUACAAAAUGACGAUGAUGAAAUUCAACAAAUGAAUUAUUGUCAUGGCAUAGUUUAGAAACACUAAUGAGAUUUGUGGCAAGCUUCAGAGCAUGAAGAACCUUGUUUAGCUUGAAUUUCUUGUAUUUGGUAGAUAAAAGAGUGCAACCAAUGUGAUGUAUAGGAAGUUUCUUACCAUUUCCAAUAGAGACUUGAUAAGGUUCGUGAUAAGGAUGCACGACAGAUAGAUGAGUAACAUUGUUGGUCAGAUGAUGAGUUGCCCGUGUCAAGAAACCAAGAAUCCGAUGAUGCUGGAGAGGCUACCAUGGCUUGAACUUGGUUACUGUUGUCAUUAGGAAAUGUGUUAUUGUUGGGAGUUGUAUGUGGAAGAUGACUCCCUUGAAAAUUGAUAUCAAAUCGGUGAUAGCAUGAAGGAGCAAUGUGUUCGUAUUUGCCACAUAAUUGGCAUUGUGGUCUAUUGCCUUGAUGCUACUUAAAGCCUAGAUUUCGGUUGCCUAAGGAUCCUCUACUUUGAGGUUGUGCUGAGUUUGGUCUAGAAUUUUGAUAGUUGUUGCGAUUGCUAGAGAUCCUUCUGAUAUUGCCUCUCGUUUGUUGCAUUUGAGAGACAACAACAUGACCAGAUAUGGAGUCUUCUUUUGGGAUUGUGUUUUGAAAUUUCAGACAUUGUUCAUGUGUGAGAAGUAUGCUGUGAAUAGAGUGGAUGGAUAUGUCAUCUUCUCGAGCAGUGAUGGAAGCAACAAUAGGAUUGUAAUCAGCACCAAGUCCUCCCAGUAUCUGUAACACCUGGUCUUUUUUUAAGACUGGUUCUCCAAUAGCUACGAGAUUAUCAGCUAUAGUUUUCACUUUGAGAAGAUACUCCAUCAUGGACAUUGUGCCUUUGCGAGUUGUUUGAAACUCCAAUCGAAGUUGCAUUGCUCUUGCUUUGGAGGAGGUUGAAAAUAUCUUCACCAGAGACGUCCAAGCUUCAUGAGAGGUUUGGUAUCCAACUAUUUGCCCCAUGAUUUCAGGGGUAAGAGAAGAAUAUAACCGGCUAAGAAUCAUACGGUCAUAACUUCUCCAUGAAACGAAUUAUGGGUUUAUUGUGCCUGUAGCUGUCAUCUUGGUAGGGUGCAUAUUCAGUCCUUCACUAUGAUCUUCAAAGCCAUUGGCGAAGAUGACAUUCUCCAUUUAGGUUUGCCAUAAGAUGUAAUUGCUUUUGUCUAGUUUAACAGGGAGGGUAUGAUUUAGCAUUUGAAGAGAAUAGCUCGAUCCUGGGAGUGAAGUAAUCUGUGUGGGAGUUUGUGAUUCAGAGGAUGGAUUAAAGAAAGACAUGGUUAAAU